AUGAACGCUGGCGGCGUGCCUAAUACAUGCAAGUCGAGCGAACGGACGAGAAGCUUGCUUCUCUGAUGUUAGCGGCGGACGGGUGAGUAACACGUGGAUAACCUACCUAUAAGACUGGGAUAACUUCGGGAAACCGGAGCUAAUACCGGAUAAUAUUUUGAACCGCAUGGUUCAAAAGUGAAAGACGGUCUUGCUGUCACUUAUAGAUGGAUCCGCGCUGCAUUAGCUAGUUGGUAAGGUAACGGCUUACCAAGGCAACGAUGCAUAGCCGACCUGAGAGGGUGAUCGGCCACACUGGAACUGAGACACGGUCCAGACGCCUACGGGAGGCAGCAGUAGGGAAUCUUCCGCAAUGGGCGAAAGCCUGACGGAGCAACGCCGCGUGAGUGAUGAAGGUCUUCGGAUCGUAAAACUCUGUUAUUAGGGAAGAACAUAUGUGUAAGUAACUGUGCACAUCUUGACGGUACCUAAUCAGAAAGCCACGGCUAACUACGUG
rnacentral:rRNA from 1 species